GCACUCAGAAUGGUCCAGCGUUUGACAUACCGACGUAGGCUUUCCUACAAUACAGCCUCUAACAAAACUAGGCUGUCCCGAACCCCUGGUAAUAGAAUUGUUUACCUUUAUACCAAGAAGGUUGGGAAAGCACCAAAAUCUGCAUGUGGUGUGUGCCCAGGCAGACUUCGAGGGGUUCGUGCUGUAAGACCUAAAGUUCUUAUGAGAUUGUCCAAAACAAAGAAACAUGUCAGCAGGGCCUAUGGUGGUUCCAUGUGUGCUAAAUGUGUUCGUGACAGGAUCAAGCGUGCUUUCCUUAUCGAGGAGCAGAAAAUCGUUGUGAAAGUGUUGAAGGCACAAGCACAGAGUCAGAAAGCUAAAUAAAAAAAUGAAACUUUUUUGAGUAAUAAAAAUGAAAAGACGCUGUCCAAUAGAAAAAGUUGGUGUGCUGGAGCUACCUCACCUCAGCUUGAGAGAGCCAGUUGUGUGCAUCUCUUUCCAGUUUUGCAUCCAGUGACGUCUGCUUGGCAUCUUGAGAUUGUUAUGGUGAGAGUAUUUACACCUCAGCAAAUGCUGCAAAAUCCUGUUUUCCCCCAGAGAGCUGGAGGUUAAAUACUACCAGCACAUCCCUAGAUACUACUCAAGUUACAGUAUAUGAUCACUAAUAUAGUAUGCUCUUGGUACCAGGAGCUCUGAUAUAUAUCUGGUACAUGUUUGAUAAUGACUUGAUUGUUAUUAUAAGUACUUAUUAAUACUUCGAUUCUGUAAAGAGUUUAGGGUUUGAUUUUAUAAAAUCCAAAAUGAGCCUUUUAUUGAAUCCAGUUCUCUAUGUGACCAGUUCUCUGUAUGAAUGGAAGGG
rnacentral:lncRNA from 10 species